rnacentral:rRNA from 1 species
UACAUGGGGUGCAAACGUUGCUCGGAAUUAUUGGGCGUAAAGCGCGCGUAGGCGGUUACUCAAGUCGGAUGUGAAAGCCCUCGGCUUAACCGAGGAAGUGCACCCGAAACUGAGUAGCUAGAGUACUAAAGAGGGUCGCGGAAUUCCCGGUGUAGAGGUGAAAUUCGUAGAUAUCGGGAGGAACACCAGUGGCGAAGGCGGUUGCCUGGAGCUUUGCUGACGCUGAGGCGCGAAAGCGUGGGGAGCGAUCCGG